rnacentral:ribozyme from 1 species
UUGGGAUGAUGAAUUCUUACCUUCUCAUGGUGUCCGGUGUGAGUACUCGCAGUAUGGCGAGGAAGCUAAGAGGAAUU